AGCUAUUUCAACAUCAAAGUUUGGAUUUGUGUUUCUGAAAAUUUCUCUGUUCAAAGGAUUUUGUGCUCCAUCAUAGAAUCUAUUACAAAAGCAAAACAUGAAUGCUUGAAUUUAGAUGUAACCGAAAGAAAGGUGCAAGAACUGUUGCAAGGUAAAAAAUAUUUGCUGGUUUUGGAUGACGUGUGGAGAAAAGAUGAAGAAAUGGAAUUUGGUUUAACCCAAGACAAAUGGAAUAAGCUGAAAUGUUUGUUGUCAUGUGCAUCCAAAGGAGCUUCAAUUUUAGUAUCCACUCGCGAUAUGGAGGUUGCAGCAAUCAUGGGAACAUGCCAAGCUCAUCAUUUGUGCGGUCUCUCUGAGGAUGAAUGUUGGAUGCUAUUCAAACAAUAUGCAUUUGGAACUGUAAAAGAAGAACGUGCAGAGCUUGUAGCUAUUGGCAAAGAGAUAGUAAAGAAAUGCGGAGGAUCACCUCUUGCAGCACAAGCACUAGGAGGUCUCUUACACUCAAGGAAUGAAGAAAAAGAAUGGCUUGAAGUUAUGAAAAGUGGGAUUUGGAAUUUAGCGGGUGAAAAUUCUAUUUUUGCUGUCUUGAGAUUGAGCUACUUUCAUUUAACGCCAACAAUAAGACAGUGUUUUGCAUUUUGUGCCAUGUUUCCUAAAGAUACAGAAAUCAUGAAGGAAGAUUUAAUUCAUCUUUGGAUGGCUAAUGGGUUUAUAUCACCAAGGGAGAACUUGGAGGUGGAAGAUGUUGGAAAUAUGAUUUGGAAUGAAUUGUAUCAAAAAUCAUUCUUUCAAGAUAUGAGGUUGGAUGAUUAUUCAGGUGACAUUCAUUUCAAGAUGCAUGAUCUUGUCCAUGAUCUUGCUCAGUCAAUAAUGGGGCAGGAGUGCAUUGUUUUGGGCAGUGCAAACAUGACUGAUAUGUCAAGAAGCACCCACCAUGUUGGUUUUGGCUCUGGUUGGGAUCUAUCCUCGCUGCACAAGCGCGCCUUCAAGAAAGUUGAAUCCAUGCGAACAUUUUAUCAGUUAAAUGUCUACGACCGUGUUUCUGGUUGCAUCCCAACCCACCGCAGUCUUCGGGUACUACGCACAAGUUCUUCCAACUUAUCAUCACUCAAGAGUUUAAUUCAUUUGAGGUAUUUGGAACUUUCCGAGCUUGAGAUAGAAAGCAUGCCCGACUCAAUUUAUAGCUUGCAGAAAUUGGAAAUCUUGAAAUUGAGAUUUUUGACAAAACUUGUUUGUCUACCUAAAGGCUUGACCUGCUUACAGGAUCUUAGACAUCUUGUCAUUGAAGAUUGUUAUUCAUUGUCUUGUAUGUUCCCUACCAUAGGGAAAUUAUCCCGUCUGAGAACGUUAAGUAAAUACAUUGUCAGUUCAGAGAUUGGGCAUAGCCUGGCAGAAUUACAUGCUUUAAAACUUAGAGGAUCUUUGCGCAUUGAAGGACUAGAAAAUGUUGGCAGUUUAUCAGAAGCUCAAGAGGCCAACUUGAUGGGUAAAAGAGACAUCCAAGAAUUAGACUUGGUAUGGGACCAGGAGGAAAAUACAAAGCCAUAUGCUACUAAUCCGGAGCUAGUACUUAAUGCCCUUCAACCUCACUCAAAUCUCAAGAAUUUGAAAAUAGAGGACUAUGCAGGAUUAAAAUUCCCAACCUGGAUGGAAAUGCUCACCAAUUUAGUUUCUCUUGAACUUCAUCGAUGCAAGAUGUGUGUGCGGCUUCCCUCACUUGGUAAACUGCCAUAUUUAAGAAAAAUUGAAAUAAGUGAAAUGAAAGAUGUGCAGUACAUGGAUGAUGACGAAUCUUAUGAUGGUGUGGAGGUGAAAGCUUUCCCGUCAUUAGAAGAACUCUCACUAUCACGAUGCUCAAAGUUAGAGCGGUUGUUGAAAGUGGAAAGAGGAGAGAAUUUCCCCUGUCUUUCUAAUUUGAUAAUUAAUAAAUGCCCUAAACUUGAGUUGCCAAGCUGCUGCAUUCCGUCACUCAAAAGGCUCCGUCUAUUUGAUUAUACGAAUGAGUUACUGAGCUCCCUCUCAGGUUUCAAUGGCCUUACCUCCCUUCGGCUUUUCGGUGGCGAUGUAGACCUGACAUCCUUCCCGGUGGGAACAUUGUCUUCUCUUCAGACUCUGCAGAUAUGUUCCGAGGUAUUGAAGGAAUUACCAAAUGAAUUCUUCAAAAACCUCAACAAAAUGGAGAAUCUGGGCAUCGGUAGGUGUAGGAAGCUGGAGUCUUUACCAGAGCAAGGGUGGGAAGGUCUCCGCUCCCUUCGAACUCUGCAGAUUUGGGAAUGUGGUGAAUUGAAAUCCUUGCCGGAUGGUGUUCGACACCUCACUUCACUCCAGCUUUUGAACAUCCGUUAUUGUAGGAAGCUGGAGUCUUUACCAGAGCAAGGGUGGGAAGGUCUCCGCUCCCUUCGAACUCUGCAGAUUUGGGGAUGUGGUGAAUUGAAAUCAUUGCCGGAUGGUGUUCGACACCUCACUUCACUCCAGCUUUUGAGAAUUGGUAGCUGCCCAGCAUUAGCCGAGAGGUGUAAAGAGGGAACAGGGGAGGAUUGGGACAAGAUAGCGCACGUUCCCAAAGUACAAAUUGAUUUCGAUUAAGAUAGUGUUGAUUCUCAAUUCGGGUCCUGAUUUGGUCAUCCAUCAAACUAAGGAGUGCCUUGACAGGAUGGGAGAGUGGUGUCAAAGUCAUCAUGCAGCUAGUGGGCUAACAAAAAGGGUGCUUGAAAGUACAAUUAGUGAAAGAGAAGCUGAAAAGCAGGU